rnacentral:rRNA from 1 species
GGUGAAGUGUUUAUGGGCACAUGGUGGAUGCCUGGGCAUCAGGAGCCGAUGAAGGACGUGGGAGACCGCGAUAGGCCUCGGGGAGUUGUCAACCUAGCUGUGAUCCGAGGAUUUCCGAAUGGGGUAACCCGGCACCCGGAUUUGAAAGGGGUGUCACCCGCACCUGAAUGUAUAGGGUGUGUGGAGGGAACGCGGGGAAGUGAAACAUCUCAGUACCCGUAGGAAGAGAAAACAAUUGUGAUUCCGUGAGUAGUGGCGAGCGAAAGCGGAUUAGGCUAAACCUGUAUCGUGUUCAAGCUGGCGGGCGUUGCGGUAUGGGUGUUGUGGGACGUCGACGUGAACCUCCCGCCUGGGGUUCGAACUUGUCUUGGUGUGUUAGUGGAAGGCCUCUGGAAAGGGUUGCCGUAGAGGGUGAGAGUCCCGUACACGAAAACAUGCCUUGGUGGGUUGGUUGGUGUUCCCGAGUAGCAGCGAGCUCGUGGAAUUUGCUGUGAAUCUGGCGGGACCACCCGUUAAGCCUAAAUACUACCUGAUGACCGAUAGCGGACUAGUACCGUGAGGGAAAGGUGAAAAGUACCCCGGGAGGGGAGUGAAAGAGUACCUGAAACCGUGUGCCUACAAGCCGUCAGAGCCUUCCGUGUGGGGGUGAUGGCGUGCCUUUUGAAGAAUGAGCCUGCGAGUUGUGGCAUGUGGCGAGGUUAACCCGUGUGGGGUAGCCGUAGCGAAAGCGAGUCCGAAUAGGGCGGUUGAGUCGUGUGUUGCAGACCCGAAGCGGAGUGAUCUACCCAUGGCCAGGGUGAAGCGCCGGUAAGACGGUGUGGAGGCCCGAACCCACCAGGGUUGAAAACCUGGGGGAUGAGCUGUGGGUAGGGGUGAAAGGCCAAUCAAACUCCGUGAUAGCUGGUUCUCCCCGAAAUGCAUUUAGGUGCAGCGUUGCGUGUUUCUUCCUGGAGGUAGAGCACUGGAUGGGCUAGGGGGCCGACAAGCUUACCGAACUCAACCAAACUCCGAAUGCCAGUGAAGUGAAGCGUGGCAGUGAGACUGCGGGGGAUAAGCUUCGUAGUCGAGAGGGAAACAGCCCAGAUCACCGGCUAAGGCCCCUAAGCGUGCGCUAAGUGGGAAAGGAUGUGGGUUCGCCCAGACAACCAGGAGGUUGGCUUAGAAGCAGCCACCCUUGAAAGAGUGCGUAAUAGCUCACUGGUCAAGUGGAUCCGCGCCGACAAUGUAGCGGGGCUCAAGCGCACCGCCGAAGCCGUGGCACAUGCACGUGUAAUCCGCGCGCCUCUUUCGGGGGGUGUGUGUAGUUGUGUGUGUGGGUAGGGGAGCGUCGUGCAUCCGUCGAAGCAGCCGCGUGAGCGAGUUGUGGAGGGUGUGUGAGUGAGAAUGCAGGCAUGAGUAGCGAAAGCGGAGUGAGAAACUCCGCCGCCGAUUGACCAAGGGUUCCUGGGCCAGGUUAUUCCGCCCAGGGUGAGCCGGGACCUAAGGCGAGGCCGACAGGCGUAGUCGAUGGAUAACGGGUUGAUAUUCCCGUGCCCGCGCAAGCGCGACCAGUGGUGAACCUACUGAUACUAACCACCUGAUCAUUGCUUACCGGCCUUCGGGUUGGGGGUGGUGUGAGGCUGGGACCUGAGGUGGUAGUAGCCAAGCGAUGGGGUGACGCAGGAGGGUAGUCCCGCCAGGCGUUGGUUGUCCUGGUGUAAGCCUGUAGCCCGACAUCUAGGUAAAUCCGGGUGUCGUGAAGGGUGAGAGGUGAUGCGUAGCCGAUUGAGGCGAAGUAGGGCGAUCCCAUGCUGUCGAGAAAAGCCUCUAGCGAGUUCUUGAGCGGCCCGUACCCUAAACCGACACAGGUGGUCAGGUAGAGAAUACCGAGGCGAUCGAGCGAACUGUGGUUAAGGAACUCGGCAAAAUACCUCCGUAACUUCGGGAGAAGGAGGACCGGUUGCCUUGAAGCCCUUCGCGGGCUAGGGGUGGCCGGUCGCAGAGACCAGGCCCAAGCGACUGUUUACUAAAAACACAGGUCCGUGCGAAGUCGCAAGACGAUGUAUACGGACUGACGCCUGCCCGGUGCUGGAACGUUAAGAGGACCCGUUAGUCGUAAGGCGAAGCGGAGAAUUUAAGCGCCAGUAAACGGCGGUGGUAACUAUAACCAUCCUAAGGUAGCGAAAUUCCUUGUCGGGUAAGUUCCGACCUGCACGAAUGGCGUAACGACUUGGGCGCUGUCUCAACCACAGACUCGGCGAAAUUGCACUACGAGUAAAGAUGCUCGUUACGCGCGGCAGGACGGAAAGACCCCGGGACCUUUACUAUAGCUUGGUAUUGGUGCUCGGUUCGGAUUGUGUAGGAUAGGUGGGAAACUGUGAAGCCGCAACGCCAGUUGUGGUGGAGUUGACGUUGAAAUACCACUCUGUUCGAAUUGGGUGUCUAACCUCGGACCGUGAUCCGGUUCAGGGACAGUGCCUGGUGGGUAGUUUAACUGGGGCGGUUGCCUCCCAAAAUGUAACGGAGGCGCCCAAAGGUUCCCUCAGCCUGGUUGGCAAUCAGGUGUCGAGUGUAAGUGCACAAGGGAGCUUGACUGUGAGACUGACAAGUCGAGCAGGGACGAAAGUCGGGACUAGUGAUCCGGCACCUCCUUGUGGAAGGGGUGUCGCUCAACGGAUAAAAGGUACCCCGGGGAUAACAGGCUGAUCUUGCCCAAGAGUCCAUAUCGACGGCAUGGUUUGGCACCUCGAUGUCGGCUCGUCGCAUCCUGGGGCCGGAGUAGGUCCCAAGGGUUGGGCUGUUCGCCCAUUAAAGCGGCACGCGAGCUGGGUUUAGAACGUCGUGAGACAGUUCGGUCCCUAUCCGCCGCGCGCGUUGGAGACUUGAGGAAGGCUGUCCCUAGUACGAGAGGACCGGGACGGACGAACCUCUGGUGUGCCAGUUGUCCCGCCAGGGGCACGGCUGGUUGGCUACGUUCGGAAGGGAUAACCGCUGAAGGCAUCUAAGCGGGAAACCCGUUCCAAGAUGAGGUCUCCCUCCCACCCUUGUGGUGGGGUAAGGCCCCCAGCAGACCACUGGGUUGAUAGGCCAGAAAUGGAAGCGCCGUGAGGUGUGGAGUUGACUGGUACUAAUAGGCCGAGCGGCUUCACCGC